rnacentral:snRNA from 1 species
GGAUGUGAGGUCUAUCUGGCUGUGACAUCUGUCACCCCAUUGACCACCAGGUUUUAUUCAGCUGAUCGGGCUGGCUAGGCGGGUGUCCCCUUCCUCCCUCACCAUUCUAUGUGCAUCCUUCCCCAAGAUUCGUGCUUGGCCUGGAUGACCUUCUCUAAAUAGAACCUUCCCAUGCUAGAACCUCCAAACAAGCUCUCAAGAUCCAAAAGGACCUCUGGUUUUUCUAUUCACACAAAACAAUGGCAUUUUAUCUCUAAUGUUCACU